rnacentral:rRNA from 1 species
AUUGAACGCUGGCGGCAGGCCUAACACAUGCAAGUCGAGCGAGCCGCAGAGGGGUGAGUAAUGCCUGGGAAUUGCCCAGUCGGGGGGGAACACAGUUGGAAAGGAGUGAUAAUACCGCAUACGAUUGGGUUCCCCAGGUGGGAUUAGCUAGUUGGUGGGGUAAUGGCUCACCAAGGCGACGAUCCCUAGCCGGUCUGAGAGGAUGAUCAGCCACACUGGAACUGAGACACGGUCCAGACUCCUACGGGAGGCAGCAGUGGGGAAUAUUGCACAAUGGGGGAAACCCUGAUGCAGCCAUGCCGCGUGUGUGAAGAAGGCCUUCGGGUUGUAAAGCACUUUCAGCGAGGAGGCGUUACCCGCAGAAGAAGCACCGGCUAACUCCGUGCCAGCAGCCGCGGUAAUUC